rnacentral:rRNA from 1 species
UAGGGAAUAUUGGUCAAUGGAUGGAAGUCUGAACCAGCCAUGCCGCGUGCAGGAAGAAGGCCUUCUGGGUUGUAAACUGCUUUUGCCAGGGGCUAAAAGGCCCAUGCGUGGGAAAUUGAAAGUACCUGGUGAAUAAGCCACGGCUAACUACGUGCCAGCAGCCGCGGUAAUACGUAGGUGGCAAGCGUUGUCCGGAUUUAUUGGGUUUAAAGGGUGCGUAGGCGGCUUAUUAAGUCAGUGGUGAAAUAUCGCAGCUUAACUGUGAGGGUGCCAUUGAUACUGAUGAGCUUGAGUACAGAUGAGGUAGGCGGAAUUGACGGUGUAGCGGUGAAAUGCAUAGAUAUCGUCAAGAACACCUAUAGCGAAGGCAGCUUACUAAGCUGUAACUGACGCUGAGGCACGAAAGUGUGGGGAUCAAACAGGAUUAGAUACCCUGGUAGUCCACACUGUAAACGUUGAUAACUCGCUG